UGGGGAAUUUUGGACAAUGGGGGCAACCCUGAUCCAGCCAUUCCGCGUGAGUGAAGAAGGCCUUCGGGUUGUAAAGCUCUUUCGGCCGGGAAGAAAUCGCAUGGGUUAAUACCCUGUGUGGAUGACGGUACCGGAAUAAGAAGCACCGGCUAACUACGUGCCAGCAGCCGCGGUAAUACGUAGGGUGCGAGCGUUAAUCGGAAUUACUGGGCGUAAAGCGUGCGCAGGCGGUUUAGUAAGACAGUCGUGAAAUCCCCGGGCUCAACCUGGGAACUGCGCUUGUGACUGCUAGGCUAGAGUACGGCAGAGGGGGGGUGGAAUUCCAAGUGUAGCAGUGAAAUGCGUAGAGAUGUGGAGGAACACCGAUGGCGAAGGCAGCCCCCUGGGCCGAUACUGACGCUCAUGCACGAAAGCGUGGGUAGCAAACA
rnacentral:rRNA from 1 species